AACGAACGCUGGCGGCAUGCCUAACACAUGCAAGUCGAACGAGAUCUUCGGGUCUAGUGGCGCACGGGUGCGUAACGCGUGGGAAUCUGCCCUUUGGCUCGGAAUAACAGUUGGAAACGACUGCUAAUACCGGAUGAUGACGAAAGUCCAAAGAUUUAUCGCCAGAGGAUGAGCCCGCGUAGGAUUAGCUAGUUGGUGUGGUAAAGGCGCACCAAGGCGACGAUCCUUAGCUGGUCUGAGGGGAUGAUCAGCCACACUGGGACUGAGACACGGCCCAGACUCCUACGGGAGGCAGCAGUGGGGAAUAUUGGACAAUGGGCGAAAGCCUGAUCCAGCAAUGCCGCGUGAGUGAUGAAGGCCUUAGGGUUGUAAAGCUCUUUUACCCGGGAUGAUAAUGACAGUACCGGGAGAAUAAGCUCCGGCUAACUCCGUGCCAGCAGCCGCCGUAA
rnacentral:rRNA from 1 species